rnacentral:rRNA from 1 species
AGUGAACGCUGGCGGCAGGCCUAAUACAUGCAAGUCGAACGGCAGCACAGCAGAGCUUGCUCUAUGGGUGGCGAGUGGCGGACGGGUGAGGAAUACAUGGGAAUCUGCCCAGUCGUGGGGGAUAACGUAGGGAAACUUACGCUAAUACCGCAUGCGCCCUUCGGGGGAAAGCCGGGGACCUUCGGGCCUGGCGCGAUUGGAUGAGCCCAUGUCGGAUUAGCUAGUUGGCGGGGUAAUGGCCCACCAAGGCGACGAUCCGUAGCUGGUCUGAGAGGAUGAUCAGCCACACUGGAACUGAGACACGGUCCAGACUCCUACGGGAGGCAGCAGUAGGGAAUAUUGGACAAUGGGCGCAAGCCUGAUCCAGCCAUGCCGCGUGAGUGAAGAAGGCCCUCGGGUUGUAAAGCUCUUUUGUCCGGAAAGAAAAGCGCCGGGUUAAUACCCUAGUGUCCUGACGGUACCGGAAGAAUAAGCACCGGCUAACUUCGUGCC